CCCACGCUAUCAAAUAGUAUAACUUUGGCUUUCUUCUUGUUCAUAACUUAUAAGGAGUUGUAGGAAUCACGCGACUAGUAAUCAUAUUGGGUACAUAUAGUACUUCUCCCAUAAGGGUUUGGUAAACCUACAGGUUCAACAUGUAGUUUGAUCAUUCCAAAUAAGUUUUAAUUCUUUCUCAUCUAAACCAUUCUAUCAGGUUUGAAGACCGCAAGUCACCAAACAGAAAUCGUGGAGACUGAUGUAUUGGUGCUAUUUGUAUCUCUUUAUGAUGGCAUUUGAAGAUGAAGCGGGCUAAUGACCAUAUGGUUGUUUUGUCCUUAUCACAAACAUGUUUUUUCAGGUGACGACUCACCAAAAAAAUACAUAGGAUCGAUGCAAUACUUAUUGUUAUAUUUGUAUGUGUUUGUAUUUGUUUUAUAUAUGUUUGGUUUAUUUAUUUAUUUAUUUUGAAUGAUUAGAAACUAAAAUAAAAUUUGAAAAACACAACAAUUUGUUUAAA